rnacentral:tRNA from 1 species
CGCUGGUGUAGUGUAAUGGCAGCACAUCAGGUUGUGGACCUGGGGGUGUGGGUUCGAGUCCCACCAUCACGA